GGAGGACUGUAGUGGAUAAGCUGU
rnacentral:piRNA from 1 species